rnacentral:rRNA from 1 species
GUCGCAAGACCAAAGUGGGGGACCUUCGGGCCUCAUGCCAUCAGAUGUGCCCAGAUGGGAUUAGCUAGUAGGUGGGGUAAUGGCUCACCUAGGCGACGAUCCCUAGCUGGUCUGAGAGGAUGACCAGCCACACUGGAACUGAGACACGGUCCAGACUCCUACGGGAGGCAGCAGUGGGGAAUAUUGCACAAUGGGCGCAAGCCUGAUGCAGCCAUGCCGCGUGUAUGAAGAAGGCCUUCGGGUUGUAAAGUACUUUCAGCGAGGAGGAAGGCGUUAAGGUUAAUAACCUUAGCGAUUGACGUUACUCGCAGAAGAAGCACCGGCUAACUCCGUGCCAGCAGCCGCGGUAAUACGGAGGGUGCAAGCGUUAAUCGGAAUUACUGGGCGUAAAGCGCACGCAGGCGGUUUGUUAAGUCAGAUGUGAAAUCCCCGGGCUCAACCUGGGAACUGCAUUUGAAACUGGCAAGCUUGAGUCUUGUAGAGGGGGGUAGAAUUCCAGGUGUAGCGGUGAAAUGCGUAGAGAUCUGGAGGAAUACCGGUGGCGAAGGCGGCCCCCUGGACAAAGACUGACGCUCAG